GGACGUCACCCUAUGGUAGGAAAACACUUCUGCUGGUUGAAACCUGAAGGGCAGGGCAAGGCCCCCUUCACUGCAAGCUCCAAACUCAGCUCUCUCACAGGUUUGCCCGGAACUGGGAAACUUCACUCUGUACCAUGCAAUUAGCUUGACCAGGCGUGCUGGCCUCUUCCCUGGCCUCCAAGGUAACACCAGCAAUGAACAUGGCCAAAGUUGGUGGAGUGGCCUCUGGUAAUUUCCUAGCCGGCUUCUCAUCGCAGGGUGAUGAUCCAAAAGGAGAGAAACCAGUCUGCUGAAGAGACAUCUGCAUGGUCAUGGUUAUUGCAGCACUAUUCACAACUGCCAAGAAACAAACAAGUCACACAUCAGCUGAUGAGUGCAUAAGGAAACAGCGGCACAUGCGCACUGGUGCACUGUCCAGUGGUAGAAAUGAGUGACAUGCUGACCUUCGCUGCAACUGGAAUAGAACCAGAGGCCCUUCUGUGAAGUGAAAUAAGCCAGGAAGAGAAAGGCGAGGAUGCAUGGUCUCACUCACAUGUGGAAGAGAAGACACUGAUCUCAUAGAAGUUGAGGUUGAGUGGUGGCUCAUAGGGGCUUCGAGAGUAGGGAGGAUGAGGGGAGAUUGAUCAGUGGGCAUUAAGUUAUAGGUAGGCAGAAAAGAAAUUCUAGGGUGCUAUCGCACAGGGAGGUGAUUGCAGAUAACAAUAAUGACAUGCAUAUAUAUAUAAAGUAUGAGAAAGCUAGCAGAAAACAUUAUGAAUAUUUUUGCUAUAAACCCAUGAUAAAUACGUUUGACCCGAUUUUAACUUUAUAAAAUGUGUACAUGUAUGAGAAUAUCAUAUGCUACCCCAUAAGUACGUAAAAUCCAUAUGGUUUUAUACAUCAGUUAAAAUAAAUGUAAUAUAAAUUAAAAGAAAGAAGAAAAAGCUAGUAGUUAUUCAGAGAUAUAGAUGUCAGGAAAUGGCAAAGAACCAAAAGUUUUUAAUAGUGAGAAAAUAAGCAACUAUGGAAGAUCUAUACCAGAAGGCAAAGAUUGGCCCUUUGUUCUAAUGGUUUUUUUUACCUACCUGGAAACUUCUUAAAAUUGAAUUUAAAGAUCACAUUUUAUGACCCUUUCAUGCUCCCUGUGUGAUCGAUCCUUAACCAAUAUGGCUGGUAAAAAGAGCAUCUCUAUUUGGUGCUAUUUCAUUAUGUGUAUUUAUCCCAAAUCUAUGUAGAAAUAACUCAAAGUUUCAAUCUUAAAGGGCAUUUUUUUUUUUUAUUCAGUGUGCAGUUCAAUCAGAAUGAAACCCUUCAGGGUGUUUUGGACCUUUCUUUGCUUUGUGAGUUUUAGCUUUUCAUGAAGCAACAUCAUUAGUAAAUGCCAGAGCCCGCAAUAUUGACUAUGCCCCAAACACGCUGUGAGCAGGGCAGGCUGCAAAGAGUCAGCCCCUCGACGGGCUCACUUUAAGAAGGAGGUCUGCCUGAAGCUGUGUGACUCACAGGACAUCACGAGCAUUGUGGGAGUGAGCAGGUUAACACCACCUCCCUGCUAACCCACGGCCAAGACCAGAGUAACGGCCUGUGAAGCUGUGAGGCUGAUACAAGACGACAUCCAUAGCUGAGGUCGGGCUGAUCGCACCCAAACUCCAUUCCCACAGUGGGUCCUUCACAGCUUGAAGGACAAUGCUCCAAUUACAACCAGGUAUUUUGUAUGUUCUGUUCCUGAUUUGAAAAUGCUCUGACUUCUCUUUAAAGCCAUGCUUGCAUUGGUUUCCAUGGAGAUUUCACGUACCGCACAUCUAUAUACAUAUUGCACCUUUACCCUGACUGACAAAUAAUAAAAUUUGGUGGAAGAGAUGGGCCAGGGCCUUUUGCCAAAGGGAGCAUUGGCCAUCCCGGUUCACACUUUCUCUUUAACUCUAAGUUUUUCUUCAACUCUGCGUCGCACACUGGCAGGUGGGGACUACAGACUUACUGCAGGAGUCUCUGUUACAAAACAAUGCCCACUCAUUUCAACCUUGAACAGGAAUUGUUAAAAGAAAAAAGAACAUUUAAAAAUCUGCAAUGUUCUCCCCAUUUGAAGACUCAUCACUGGCGUCAAUAUGAAAAGAAACUCUAAAUAAAUUCUGGAAAAGAAAAAAAUAUUUGUACAAUGUAUUCCAAAUACAAUAAAAAUCCUUAGAAGCCAUUAUAAAAUGUGAUCGGUA